rnacentral:rRNA from 1 species
UACAGAGGGUGCGAGCGUUGUUCGGAAUUAUUGGGCGUAAAGGGCGCGUAGGCGGUGCGGUAAGUCACCUGUGAAAUCUCCUGGCCUCAACGUGGGAGCUUGCAGGCGAAACUGCCGUGCUGGAGUGUGGGAGAGGUGCGUGGAAUUCCUGGUGUAGCGGUGAAAUGCGUAGAUAUCAGGAGGAACACCUGUGGCGAAAGCGGCGCACUGGACAGUAACUGACGCUGAGACGCGAAAGCGUGGGGAGCAAACAGG